ACGAAAAUUAAAAGGGAUUCCCGAAGUGUGUGGGCCGUUUAGGGACGCCUGGUGGGAGAUGCAGAUACAAUAUA